rnacentral:rRNA from 1 species
AACGAACGCUGGCGGCGUGGAUAAGACAUGCAAGUCGAGCGCUGAUCACAGGGUAGCAAUAUUCUGUGGUUGGAGCGGCGCAAGGGUGCGUAACACGUGGGUAAUCUGCCGUGAAGUUUGGGAUAGCUUGCUGAAAGGCGAGCUAAUACCGGAUGUGAAACUUGGAAGGCAUCUUCUGAUUUUCAAAGCUGGGGACCGUAAGGCCUGGCGCUUCANGAUGAGCCCGCGGCCUAUCAGCUAGUUGGUAAGGUAACGGCUUACCAAGGGCUAAGACGGGUAGCUGGUCUGAGAGGGACGACCAGCCACACUGGAACUGAGACACGGUCCAGACACCUACGGGUGGCAGCAGUCGAGAAUUUUCACAAUGGGCGCAAGCCUGAUGGAGCGACGCCGCGUGGGGGAUGAA